GUUGGUGAUUUGUCGUAGGGGAAACACCUUUUUACAUUCCGAACAAAGAAGUUAAGCCUUACUGAGCCGAUGAUACUCCUUGUGGGGAAAGUAGGUUGUCGCCAACA
rnacentral:rRNA from 1 species